GAGGCAAAAGGAAAACACAAUAUUUCGUAUACAAAUGCAUUAAAAUGUACUUUCCAUGUCGGCAUAUUUGCAUAACAAAGAAGACACAGAUCACACUGAAAGGUCAGUCAUAUUCAUAUUAAUGACCCUGAUAGCUGCUCAACUCUGCUGACGUUUCACACGCACGCAAUUGACAGACAGACGGAAGUGAGGUAGACUGAAAUAGCACGUCUUCCUAUGCAGAAUAAAUACAGUGAUGCUUCCCUCCUGAUACUGACUGUACCGUCAAGCUUGAUAAACGACAACAUUGAAAGGCUGUCAUAAAACAAACGAGAUGAAUUCCUCAAGAAGAAGCGAAAGCGAUUGGCAGGGUUUGGUCAGCGAGGACUCGAGUCUCACCAAAGACAUUUACAAAGACUGGCUUGUUGGAGAUCCAUGGGACAUCCAUACGGCCCGAUGAAGAGCCUGCCGCAAAUCAAUAAAAGUGGGCGAAGCAGCUGUGACGAGCCAUGCUGAUGGAGCAUCACACAUGACGGCACUGCACAAGUUAAAAGCAGGUGGGUCCUACCCCAGGUAACAUGUAGAAAGGAAUACAACAACCAUAGUUAGUUACUAACGUUAAUUAGUUAGCUAGAUUAUUCCAUCUGUUCGCAGUUGGGCAAAUAUAACUUUAACGUUACAGAAUUUUUCAGUAAAAUUAAGGUUUGCUAUGUUGUUUAGCUAACGUUAUCUAGAUGUCAGUUCUCCCACAAAAUCACACCUGUCAAUAUAGUGCUAACUAGCUAACGUUAGCCAACUUGAGGCCAGCAGAGCUAGACAGUGAACAUUUCAAAUAAAUGACAGUUUGCUGACAUUGACUGAAAGUUUACAUUUAGUUAAAGGACGUUAACUGGAGUCGUAAGUGACAACAUUUCAUGACUAAUGCUAGUUAACGUUAACCAGCUAGCUAGUAUUCAUCAGACUUGGACACUUAUUUUCUUACAGUUCCCACUCUAUUGAACUAAGUGGAAAAGUCAUCGUCAUCUACAUCACCACCAAGACAAUCUUCUACAACUACUACCACAUUCACCACCUCCUCAAGACAAUCUGUCAUAACUGGUGUUCCAAAAGAGGACACAUUGCAGGCUGAGACAUUAUGGUGUCUGAAUAUGAUGGAGUCUUACUACUCUUUCCACUCUAGUGAACGCACAGGUGAGUGGUAUGGUUUAUAAACUCACCUGUAACAUGAAAUUAUUUUUAGGAACAUGUUUGUUUUCAUAUUCUCUCUGACACAAACACGUUCACACACAGGCUAGAUACAGAAAUAAGUGUUUGAUUUCAAUCUUUUUUCUUUUCUUUUUUUUGUGUAACUUUUAGGUGCUGUUCUUAGUGAUGUUCCCAGACAGUGCACUAGCCCAGACCUUCGCAUG
rnacentral:lncRNA from 1 species